rnacentral:rRNA from 1 species
AUACGGAGGGUGCAAGCGUUAUCCGGAAUCAUUGGGUUUAAAGGGUCCGCAGGCGGAUUAAUAAGUCAGUGGUGAAAUCCUCUCGCUCAACGAGAGAACUGCCAUUGAAACUGUUAGUCUUGAAUUCGGUCGAAGUAGGCGGAAUGUGUCAUGUAGCGGUGAAAUGCAUAGAUAUGACACAGAACACCGAUAGCGAAGGCAGCUUACUAGACCUGGAUUGACGCUCAUGGACGAAAGCGUGGGGAGCGAACAGAAUUAGAAACCCGAGUAGUCC